AACGAACGCUGGCGGCAUGCCUAACACAUGCAAGUCGAACGAGACCUUCGGGUCUAGUGGCGCACGGGUGCGUAACGCGUGGGAACCUGCCCUUAGGUUCGGAAUAACUCCCCGAAAGGGGUGCUAAUACCGGAUAAUGUCUUCGGACCAAAGAUUUAUCGCCUUUGGAUGGGCCCGCGUUGGAUUAGCUAGUUGGUAGGGUAAAAGCCUACCAAGGCGACGAUCCAUAGCUGGUCUGAGAGGAUGAUCAGCCACACUGGGACUGAGACACGGCCCAGAAUAGUACGGGAGGCAGCAGUGGGGAAUAUAGGAAAAUGGGGGAAAGCCUGAAAAAGCAAUGCCGCGUGAGUGAUGAAGGCCUUAGGGUUGUAAAGCUCUUUUAAACGGGAUGAUAAUGACAGUAACGGGAGAAUAAGCACCGGCUAACUCCGUG
rnacentral:rRNA from 1 species